GUCCUGGGGACCGCCCCCUUCCCCGCGAGGCGCGGCUGGACCGAGAGAGGUUCUGUAGCACGCCUCUGGGCGCACUGGAGGCGCUCGCUGCCUGUGCUUGCUGCACUUACCAAGUGAAAGGAUUUGUUUGGGCCUGUACAUACUCUUCAAUAACCUCAAUAUGGACUUCAAAGCUAUUUAAUUAAGCCCCAUACCUAUAAAAAUGAACAUUUAAUACUCAGAGAAAACCCAUGACUUAUUCAUUCUGAAGAUAAACAGGUGAGAUAUCUUCUCAAGCUCAGAGUUCUGAGAUAAUUAAGAUUGGUUGCCAUAGAGAAAGAGAGAUAGAGA
rnacentral:lncRNA from 1 species